CUAUCCACCUCAUCACCUCAAGUGUUGUCUGUGGACCAGCUGUGUUCACCUGGAAACUUUUAAGAAAUACUGGAAAUCAGAUCCCAUCCUAGACCCACAGAGAAUCUGAACCUGCACUUUCGCAACGCCACGUGAAUUCGUGGCAUAUGAAGGUGGGAACAUCUAGAAAACUGUUUCUCAAAGCAUUGUCAGAGAACCUCCAUUAGAAGCACCUGAGCACUCCUUGGUUCCUAGUGUCUUGACCAUCUACCAAGAACCAUACAAAAGGCAGAACAUGCUUUGUUCAUUCAACAGAAGUCUUCAAUCCACCGUCAGUCAGGCACUGUAUUCGCUGCUGGGGCACAAAGAGAAUUGAAACGUGAUAUCUUUCUUUGAAAGAAAUAGAGGCAUACGUGGGCUGUUAAAAUACAGAAUAAGUACAAAUAUAGAGCUUUGCACGGGGAGCCACGGGAGCAUGGAAAGAGUCUUAAUUC